rnacentral:rRNA from 1 species
UACGUAGGGUGCGAGCGUUAAUCGGAAUUACUGGGCGUAAAGGGCGCGUAGGCGGCCUUCUAAGUCGAACGUGAAAUCCCCGGGCUCAACCCGGGAACUGCGUCCGAUACUGGAAGGCUUGAAUCCGGGAGAGGGAUGCGGAAUUCCAGGUGUAGCGGUGAAAUGCGUAGAUAUCUGGAGGAACACCGGUGGCGAAGGCGGCAUCCUGGACCGGCAUUGACGCUGAGGAGCGAAAGUGUGGGGAGCGAACAGG